rnacentral:lncRNA from 1 species
CUCUAUUUCUUAAUCAUUGGUUUGCUAAAAUGGUGUGUGAUACCAAACAGAGGAAGCUGAGCACCCGCAGUAAGAUGGUAGCACUAUUUGCAUUUCCUUGUGAGUAAACAAAUUUUGAUUAUAAGGCAGAUUAAUUAGUAUAUGUAUGUAAGUGUAACAAAACAACUUUUCACCAUCAAGUAUUUUCUGGUCUUUCUUUUUGCUGCACAGAUGCUGACCCAAGGGGAUAAAACUAGAAGGCUAAUGAUCUUGGAGAGGCUGGAGAUGUGGGAGAUUUGACUUGUGACGUAACUGUACCUGUGAUGAGUAUUUUGAGUUAAUCUUAGGCACAUAAUACUCCAGAGCUUCAAAAUCAGAAGUAAAAUCAUUUGGACAGUUGCCACCUGCCCUCCUAAAUAGGCUUUCCAGCCACUGUUCCUCAAUCCUGUCUGGCUGUGUGGGGUUGAAUGUCAUGGAACUGGACUUGGCUCAUCCAACUAGCCAAUCCAGGUUACUCUGCAAAGCCUUCCUAACUUCAAGUAGAUUGACAGCCC